UUGAGGGUGCACGGGAGCCCGGUGGGACCGGGCUGAGAGGGCGGGCUGUGAGCCCCCGACCGUUGAACCUGAUCCGGGUAAUGCCGGCGAAGGGAGGCACUGGACGUGGCAGU
rnacentral:ncRNA from 2 species